rnacentral:rRNA from 1 species
AGUGAACGCUGGCGGUAGGCCUAACACAUGCAAGUCGAACGGCAGCACAGUAAGAGCUUGCUCUUACGGGUGGCGAGUGGCGGACGGGUGAGGAAUACAUCGGAAUCUACUUUUUCGUGGGGGAUAACGUAGGGAAACUUACGCUAAUACCGCAUACGACCUACGGGUGAAUGCAGGGGAUCUUCGCACUUUGCGCGAUUGAAUGAGCCGAUGUCGGAUUAGCUAGUUGGCGGGGUAAAGGCCCACCAAGGCGACGAUCCGUAGCUGGUCUGAGAGGAUGAUCGGCCACACUGGAACUGAGACACGGUCCAGACUCCUACGGGAGGAAGCAGUGGGGAAUAUUGGACAAUGGGCGCAAGCCUGAUCCAGCCAUACCGCGUGGGUGAGGAAGGCCUUCGGGUUGUAAAGCCCUUUUGUUGGGAAAGAAGAGCAGCAGGUUAAUACCCCGCUGUUCUGACGGUACCCAAAGAAUAAGCACCGGCUAACUUCGUG